rnacentral:rRNA from 1 species
UACGUAGGGUGCGAGCGUUAAUCGGAAUUACUGGGCGUAAAGCGCACGUAGGCGGCUUUGUAAGUUAGAGGUGAAAGCCCGGGGCUCAACUCCGGAAUUGCCUUUAAGACUGCAUCGCUAGAAUUGUGGAGAGGUAAGUGGAAUUCCGAGUGUAGAGGUGAAAUUCGUAGAUAUUCGGAAGAACACCAGUGGCGAAGGCGACUUACUGGACACAUAUUGACGCUGAGGUGCGAAAGCGUGGGGAGCAAACAGGG